rnacentral:tRNA from 1 species
GGGCUCGUGGUUUAGUGGUAUAAUACUCCCUUAGCAUCAAAAGAUCGAUUGGGAGUGGUCCGGGGUUCGAUUCCCCGCGAGUCCA